rnacentral:rRNA from 1 species
GGUGAGUAACGCGUGGGAACAUACCCUUUGGUUCGGAAUAACUGAGGGAAAUUUCAGCUAAUACCGGAUGUGCCCUUCGGGGGAAAGAUUUAUCGCCAAAGGAUUGGCCCGCGUCUGAUUAGCUAGUUGGUGAGGUAACGGCUCACCAAGGCGACGAUCAGUAGCUGGUCUGAAAGGAUGAUCACCCACACUGGGACUGAAACACGGCCCACACUCCUACGGGAGGCAGCAGUGGGGAAUAUUGGACAAUGGGGGCCACCCUGAU